GAUGAACGCUGGCGGCGUGCCUAAUACAUGCAAGUCGAACGCAUAGCGAAAGGUGCUUGCACCUUUCAAGUGAGUGGCGAACGGGUGAGUAACACGUGGACAACCUGCCUCAAGGCUGGGGAUAACAUUUGGAAACAGAUGCUAAUACCGAAUAAAACUUAGUGUCGCAUGACACAAAGUUAAAAGGCGCUUCGGCGUCACCUAGAGAUGGAUCCGCGGUGCAUUAGUUAGUUGGUGGGGUAAAGGCCUACCAAGACAAUGAUGCAUAGCCGAGUUGAGAGACUGAUCGGCCACAUUGGGACUGAGACACGGCCCAAACUCCUACGGGAGGCUGCAGUAGGGAAUCUUCCACAAUGGGCGAAAGCCUGAUGGAGCAACGCCGCGUGUGUGAUGAAGGCUUUCGGGUCGUAAAGCACUGUUGUAUGGGAAGAACAGCUAGAAUAGGAAAUGAUUCUAGUUUGACGGUACCAUACCAGAAAGGGACGGCUAAAUACGUG
rnacentral:rRNA from 1 species